UGUAUGUGACAACCCCCUCGGGAUCCACAUACUCAGGUAUUGUCUCUGCCAUGGGCGGCCAUUCGCUCUUUUAAUCCCCUCUUAUUGGCUCGCAGCCUCAAGGGAGAAUCGAACCCGUGACCUAUGGCUCCUUUACAUCCCUCCCAAGGAGAUCGCCUCUUACCAAUUGAGCUGCAGAUCAAUUGGUAAGAGGCGAUCUCCUUGGGAGGGAUGUAAAGGAGCCAUAGGUCACGGGUUCGAUUCUCCCUUGAGGCUGCGAGCCAAUAAGAGGGGAUUAAAAGAGCGAAUGGCCGCCCAUGGCAGAGACAAUACCUGAGUAUGUGGAUCCCGAGGGGGUUGUCACA